rnacentral:rRNA from 1 species
UAGAGUUUGAUCCUGGCUCAGAUUGAACGCUGGCGGCAGGCCUAACACAUGCAAGUCGAGCGGUAGAGAGAAGCUUGCUUCUCUUGAGAGCGGCGGACGGGUGAGUAAAGCCUAGGAAUCUGCCUGGUAGUGGGGGAUAACGUUCGGAAACGGACGCUAAUACCGCAUACGUCCUACGGGAGGAAGCAGGGGACCUUCGGGCCUUGCGCUAUCAGAUGAGCCUAGGUCGGAUUAGCUAGUUGGUGAGGUAAUGGCUCACCAAGGCGACGAUCCGUAACUGGUCUGAGAGGAUGAUCAGUCACACUGGAACUGAGACACGGUCCAGACUCCUACGGGAGGCAGCAGUGGGGAAUAUUGGACAAUGGGCGAAAGCCCGAUCCAGCCAUGCCGCGUGUGUGAAGAAGGUCUUCGGAUUGUAAAGCACUUUAAGUUGGGAGGAAGGGCAUUAACCUAAUACGUUAGUGUUUUGACGUUACCGACAGAAUAAGCACCGGCUAACUCUGUGCCAGCAGCCGCGGUAAUA